GGUCUUAAUACUUCAUAAUAUCCAUCUCGUAUGGAUUAAAGCUUUAUGCGCUUGGGAGGGGCCUGCGUAACAUUAGCUUGUUGGUGAGGUAAAAGCUCACCAAGGCUUCGAUGUUUAACUGGUUUGAGAGGAUGACCAGUCACACUGGGACUGAGAUACGGCCCAGACUCCUACGGGAGGCAGCAGUAAGGAAUCUUCCACAAUGGGGCAACCCUGAUGGAGCAAUACCGCGUGCAGGAUGAAGCGUUUCGGCGUGUAAACUGCUUUUAUCACCGAAGAUUAUGACUGUAGGUGAAGAAUAAGGACCGGCUAACUACGUG
rnacentral:rRNA from 1 species